rnacentral:rRNA from 1 species
GAUGAACGCUGGCGGCGUGCUUAACACAUGCAAGUCGAACGGAAAGGCCCUGCUUUUGCGGGGUGCUCGAGUGGCGAACGGGUGAGUAACACGGGAGUAACCUGCCCUUGACUUUGGGAUAACUUCAGGAAACUGCGGCUAAUACCGGCUAGGAGCUCCUGCUGCAUGGUGGGGGUUGGAAAGUGUCGGCGGUGGGGGAUGGACUCGCGGCUUAUCAGCUUGUUGGGGGGGUAGUGGCUUACCCAGGGUUCGACGGGUAGCCGGCCUGAGAGGGUGAACGGCCACAUUGCGACUGAGAUACGGCGCAGACUGCUACGGGAGGCAGCAGUGGGGAAUAUUGCACAAUGGGCGGAAGUCUGAUGCAGCGACGCCGCGUGCGGGAUGAUGGCCUUCGGGUUGUAAACCGCUGUCGCCUGUGACGAAGCGUGAGUGACGGUAAUGGGUAAAGAAGCACCGGCUAACUACGUG